rnacentral:RNase_P_RNA from 1 species
AGGACAGACGAUCGCGGCUGCGGGAUGCAUUGCAGUUCCGCAGGUGAGGAAAGUCCGGGCUUCACAGGGCAGGAUGCCGGAUAACGUCCGGUGGAGGCAACUCCAAGGCCAGUGCAACAGAAAUAUACCGCCACACUUUUAAAGUGUGGUAAGGGUGGAAAGGCAGCUUAAGAGACUACCGUCCGGUUGGUAACAGCCGGAGCCAUGUAAACCCCAUCCGAAGCAAGACCAAACAGAAAGCGACAGGCUUGCCCGGCCUGCUUUCAGGUGGGUCGCUUGAUGCGGCUGGCGACAGCCGUACUAGAUAGAUGAUCGUCCAACGACAUAACCCGGCUUAUCGUCUUGCUU